rnacentral:misc_RNA from 1 species
UGUGGGAGCGAGCCUGCUCGCGAUUGCGGUGUGUCAGUUAAAUCAAUGCCUGCUGAUCCAUCGCAAUCGCGAGCAGGCUCGCUCCCACA